UAGUUGCCAGGACUUGCCGCGCCGCUCCCCUCUGGCUGGCACGCAUGCGUAUGCAUGCUUAGCAUACGCACGAUUAAGCACAAAUAAAGCAAAAAUGCCGGUUGCUUAGAGCUCUACGCAUGGUCUCACGCAUGCGGCACGCCUGUGCUUUACCUAAAGCAAGCUGCCACCCGGCGCUGUGUGCGUCCCGCCCGAUACUGUGCGCGUCCCGCACGGCACAUAAAAUGGGGCACAUGAGGCACCUGAAGCUCUCUUGAUGUGUUACAGUUCAUGCAUCUGCGCUCCGACACGUGCCCCUCGUACUGGUGUCGUGGUGUGCCAAAAUGGUGCAAGUCCGCACGGCUCUCCCGCCCGCUCCAUCCACACGACCCGCAACCCACCACGUGCUGCACGCACACAUUCUACAAGGCCUACCAUUGCUACACAACACUAAACGUACAGACCAGGCAUACUCAGGGUCUCGAGGCAAGUGUGAAGGCAACCGAUACGGAUCCCUGCCAGCACUACACCGCCGAUCACACCAUAACACCAUGCGCGCACAGCGCAGCCUGCCAAUUCCGCUGCCGCCACCUGAAGUCUGCCGCUUGCCGCUAGCCGCCUCCAUACUUGAGCUCGGCCUGCAUGGUGUUUGGGGUAAGUUGGUCAGUGCAUGGUGGCACGGUGUCGUGCAGGGCAGGGCCUAGACCGCAUUCGGUCCCCUAUAACUAACUUCCCAUGUACGUCAUUCAAAUCCUAUCAUUCAUCCUAUUAUGAGUUGUGUAGCAACUUCCGAUCAAACUUGCCUGGUGAGGGUUAGAAGGGCCACGCAUCUACGCGCGCUGCGCCCCGAGUCGAAUUCCAGUGCCGGACCUGAGGAGACAAGGGGAGGGGGAGGGGGGGAGCUUCACACUCUGAAUCUCUGCUUAUGCUCUUACAACUUCGUCCAUACUGCGCAUGGAUGCUAGCUCGCUUGACCCCCUGAAUUUGUUGUCGCUUGUCGACCCCUGAAAUGGCUGUCGCUAUGUGUCCUGACCUGCCUCACCUGGCACUGUUGAUUCCAGACUUGGUCUCUGAUGCUUGAUUUACAUCCUGUAACAGCAGCGUCAAGACCUGGCUUAGUUGUAGACCCGGUCAACGAGGGUCCGACACCCCCUGCGACAGCGCAGCCCAGCCCCAGCCCCAGCAGCUCAUAACAUACCUUCCAAAGAUUGAUGCCAGGGCUUAGCAGGACUUGAAGACUCGCCCUGUAGACUUGAGCGCCAACUUUGAAAGCAAGUCCAUGGCCGACUGGCAGAGGACCACGAAGUCUCUACAUGGUGCUGAACGAUAGGUAUGUAGCUACAUGUGACAAAGACAGGUUGCUUGAAGAGUGAAGAACUGAACUCGAAAUAUAUGAGCCCCAUGCAGCCCCAUGCAACAAGGAACGCGCUCCAUGCUGGGUCUUGAUUUGCUUGCAUGCUCCGGCUUAAGUUAAUCUACAGCAGGCCGGUACGUCAGUCUUCAGCGCCGGUCCGGGCACGGGUCUCGCCUCCGCCUGCGCCUCCGCGGCUUGUGCUUAGGGAACCACCUGAAGCUGGAUACCGACUUUCUCGGCUUCGCAUGGUUCGUCUUUACAGCUUUCUCAAUAACGGGGAAAGCCUCUCAUGCACACGCACCUCCGCUCAUGCCCACCGCCGCAUGAAGGAAGGCCAGGGGAGGCCUGGUGCGCUGGGCUGGAUACCGUGUAGGGCUCCCAUGCACACGCACCUCCGCUCAUGCCCACCGCCGCAUGAAGACACGCCGGGGGAACGCCUGGUGCGCCGGGCUGGAUACGGUGUAGGGCUCCCAUGCACACGCAACCUCCGCUCACGUCCACCGCCGCGUGAAGACACGCCGGGGGAACACCUGGUGCGCCGGGCUGGAUACGGUGUAAGGCUCACAUGCACACGCAACCUCCGCUCAUGCCCACCGCCGCAUGAAGACACGCCGGGGGAACGCCUGGUGCGCCGGGCUGGAUACGGUGUCGGGCUCCCAUGCACACGCACCUCCGCUCAUGCCCACCGCCGCAUGAAGACACGCCGGGGGAACGCCUGGUGCGCCGGGCUGGAUACGGUGUAAGGCUCACAUGCACACGCACCUCCGCUCAUGCCCACCGCCGCAUGAAGACACGCCGGGGGAAUGCCUGGUGCGCCGGGCUGGAUACGGUGUAGGGCUCCCAUGCACACGCAACCUCCGCUCAUGUCCACCGCCGCGUGAAGACACGCCGGGGGAACGCCUGGCGCGCCGGGCUGGAUACAGUGUAAGGCUCACAUGCACACGCACCUCCGCUCAUGCCCACCGCCGCAUGAAGACACGCCGGGGGAACGCCUGGCGCGCCGGGCUGGAUACGGUGUAGGGCUCCCAUGCACACGCACCUCCGCUCAUGCCCACCGCCGCAUGAAGACACGCCGGGGGAACGCCAGGUGCGCCGGGCUGGAUACGGUGUAGGGCUCCCAUGCACAUGCACCUCCGCUCAUGCCCACCGCCGCAUGAAGACACGCCGGGGGAACGCCUGGUGCGCCGGGCUGGAUACGGUGUAGGGCUCCCAUGCACACGCACCCUCCGCUCACGCCCAUCGCCGCAUGAAGACACGCCGGGGGAACGCCUGGCGCGCCGGGCUGGAUACGGUGUAGGGCUCCCAUGCACACGCACCCUCCGCUCAUGCCCACCGCCGCAUGAAGACACGCCGGGGGAACGCCUGGCGCGCCGGGCUGGAUACGGUGUAGGGCUCCCAUGCACACGCACCUCCGCUCAUGCCCACCGCCGCAUGAAGACACGCCGGGGGAACGCCUGGUGCGCCGGGCUGGAUACGGUGUAGGGCUCCCAUGCACACGCACCCUCCGCUCACGCCCAUCGCCGCAUGAAGACACGCCGGGGGAACGCCAGGUGCGCCGGGCUGGAUACGGUGUAGGGCUCCCAUGCACACGCAACCUCCACUCACGUCCACCGCCGCGUGAAGACCCGCCGGGGGAACGCCUGGUGCGCCGGGCUGGAUACGGUGUAAGGCUCACAUGCACACGCACCUCCGCUCAUGCCCACCGCCGCAUGAAGACACGCCGGGGGAACGCCUGGCGCGCCGGGCUGGAUACGGUGUAGGGCUCCCAUGCACACGCACCUCCGCUCACGCCCACCGCCACAUGAAGACACGGAACGCCUGGUGCGCCGGGCUGGAUACGGGGUAAGGCUUACAUGCACACGGUCACCGUGGUUCUGCCCGACACUGUCAAUAAAGGUGCUGACAAGCACCAGUUUGGUUUCGGCUCCAUCGCGGCUGCUUGGAACAGUCACCGCCACGCAU
rnacentral:lncRNA from 1 species